UGGGGAAUAUUGCACAAUGGGGGAAACCCUGAUGCAGCGACGCCGCGUGAGCGAAGAAGGUUUUCGAAUCGUAAAGCUCUGUCCUAUGGGAAGAUAAUGACGGUACCAUAGGAGGAAGCCCCGGCUAACUACGUGCCAGCAGCCGCGGUAAUACGUAGGGUACUAGCGUUGUCCGGAUUUAUUGGGCGUAAAGGGCUUGUAGGUGGUUUGUCGCGUCUGUCGUGAAAUCCUGUGGCUUAACCAUGGGCUUGCGGUUGGUACGGGCAGGCUUGAGUGCGGUAGGGGAGACUGGAAUUCCUGGUGUGGCGGUGGAAUGCGCAGAUAUCAGGAGGAACACCGGUGGCGAAGGCGGGUCUCUGGGCCGUUACUGACACUGAGGAGCGAAAGCGUGGGGAGCGAACAGG
rnacentral:rRNA from 1 species